rnacentral:rRNA from 1 species
CACAUCACGAAAGUGGAUUGUACUAGAAGUCUGCAGGCUGACCCGCAAGGGAGGCAGCGGCCCAAGGUAUGAUACCAUGAUUGGGGUG